rnacentral:tRNA from 1 species
GGGAAGGUGGCUGAGUGGUAUAGAGUGCUUGCCUAGCAUGCAUGAAGCCCCGGGUUCGAUUCCUCCCUACCCC